rnacentral:rRNA from 1 species
AUUGAACGCUGGCGGUAGGCCUAACACAUGCAAGUCGAACGGCAGCACAGUAAGAGCUUGCUCUUACGGGUGGCGAGUGGCGGACGGGUGAGGGAUACAUCGGAAUCUACUUUUUCUUGGGGGAUAACGUAGGGAAACUUACGCUAAUACCGCAUACGACCUACGGGUGAAAGCAGGGGAUCUUCGGACCUUGCGCGAUUGAAUGGGCCGAUGUCGGAUUAGCUAGUUGGGGGGGUAAAGGCCCACCAAGGCGACGAUCCGUAGCUGGUCUGAGAGGAUGAUCAGCCACACUGGAACUGAGACACGGUCCAGACUCCUACGGGAGGCAGCAGUGGGGAAUAUUGGACAAUGGGCGCAAGCCUGAUCCAGCCAUACCGCGUGGGUGAAGAAGGCCUUCGGGUUGUAAAGCCCUUUUGUUGGGAAAGAAAAGCAGCAGGUUAAUACCCCGCUGUUCUGACGGUACCCAAAGAAUAAGCACCGGCUAACUUCGUG